rnacentral:tRNA from 2 species
AUGUUAUUAGUAUAACUUAUAUUAUAUCACUUUUCCAAAGUGGGGAUCUAAUGGUUUUAGAUAACAUA